rfam:Parasporobacterium paucivorans DSM 15970 genome assembly, contig: EJ69DRAFT_scaffold00002.2
AGAUAGCUAUGAUACGAGAGGUUGCUGCAUGCAAAUGGCAGGUUUUCCGUGGAGCGAAUGUCAUGUUAGGAAACUGGCGACAA